AUGAAUAAUUUUCAAACGUUCAGUUACAGACUGCCUCUGUUUCUUCCUUUGUUGUAUAACCUAGGAUUUGAGGACGGGCUGGAGCAGAGCACUAGGAUUUGGGGAAAGGGGUUUUGGUUAUGUCUGAAAUCUCCAGAACUGGAUUGGCUAAACUCUGCUGACCUUGGAUUUCAGUCCUCAUGCAUCCUGUACAGUAAAUCCCAGCCUCAGAAGGCACCCAAGUCAGAGUUCUACCGGGACUCAUGUAUCUAACUACAGUAUCUUCUACUCAAAUGACUUCAUCCUUGACCUUUCUUCUGGUGCCUAUGUUUAUCAUUUCCUUAUUCCUUUUGGUAAAUAUUACCAUUUUAACUUUUACCACUUUACUUUGGUGUUCCUUAUGUUCAUUAAAUUUAUGAAUGAAACAUAUAAAGUUUGUAUUAACAUGUUUGUCAUUUUGUGUUUUCAUAUCAUAAAUUACUAAUAUGUAUCUUGGUUUUAGUCUUGUUUUUCUAUUAACUUAUUGUCUUAUUUAAUCAUGUGGUCCCAUUGCCCAGCACUUUUCCUGACACACAGUGGGCAGCAUAUAUAAUUAUGUUGAUAUUAAGUGUUCUGGGUACUUUUAGCUUCUACGAUAAUCUAAUUCCACUUUUUAUUUAUAAGAACAUCCACUUAGAGAACUUUAUGAUUCCAAAUAAUAUGCAAGUAUAGCUUGGACAAGUUGGUUAAUUUAUUAUUUUUAUUUAUAGAAAAAAAUCUACUAAGAGAAAUCAAAGAAUAACUAAGAAAUAUAGAGAUAUACUGUGCUCAAAGAUUGGAAAACUCAUUAUGGAAUACAUGUAAAUCUUCCCCAAUUUAUUUAUCGAUUUAAUGCAGAAGAACUGAAAUCUCAGCAGGAUUUUCUUUUUAUAUGUAGACGAGUUGAUUCUCAAAUUUAUAUGGAAUAGCAAUGAGAAUGUCAAAGCUGUAGAAUAAUUAAACAUUUUUUAAAAAAAUAAGCAUACAUUUAAAGGGAUCACAUUAUCUAAUUUUAAGCCUUUGUACUAAGCUGCAGUUGUUAGUGUGAUAUAUAUGAAAGAGGACACAGACGGAUGGAAUAGCGGAGAGACUCCAGAUAUUGACCCACUGACUUCAGAAUAGACCCAAUAAAGCUAAUUGACAUUUGACA
rnacentral:lncRNA from 1 species